rnacentral:lncRNA from 1 species
ACUUCCCCUGCACCAGGAGUCUCCACACACCUGGGCGUGCAUUUAUGCUGUGGGACGUGGGAGCAGUGGGGACCAUGUGGACAGAACCACACCUGUACCUGGGCAGGAAGCAGAGCGGGGAAUGUGCUUGGGUCUACUCUGCUAGAUUCUAGGGGUUAUAAUUGACUUCAGGAUGGAUCAUGAGUAGCUGGUUGCAUCUCUGACAAGCUGACCAUCCUGCACUGAUCCAUGCAGGCUAUUUCUAUGACAAAUUGGAUUUGCUCCCAAACAGCCCAUUCUUGGGGAAAUGCACUGCAUUUCUUCUUUUUUGGGUAAAUGAUGCGGCCUCAGAUGUGCGCUGGCUCCUCCCCUGGCUGAGCCGGGCGAAGAUGCAGAUCACUAAAGCCAACUGAAAGUCAGAGGACAGAAGCCCACUGAGGAGGCCCAUGCCAGGAUGGGGGAGAUGCAGCGUGGACCUGUGGGAACCAGAACAGAGAACCCCUGGCGCAGAUGCUGAGAGUACUGCGCGUGAGGCCAUGGAGAGCUGCAGCCCUUGGCCAGGCCCUCUGUGCCCUAGCUUUGAAAGUCUUUCAAAGCCUUUGAAAAAUAGGUGGAGCCAUGGUGCGUUGCCUAGAACAUCGCGGAUGACCCCGAGCAGCACAGCAGACCAAUGGCUGAGAAAGAGCUCAUUCGGCUCAUCUAACUAGGAUGCCGUCCUGCCAGAGCCCUGGGGGUUCUCGUCUCCUGUGGCAAAAGCAGCAUGCAACCCUUAUGAACCCAUCUUGGAGGGCAUUCGGG